AUUGAACGCUGGCGGAAUGCUUUACACAUGCAAGUCGAGCGGCAGCGCGGCCUUCGGGCUGGCGGCGAGCGGCGAACGGGUGAGUAAUGCAUCGGAACAUGCCCAGUCGUGGGGGAUAACACUUCGAAAGAAGUGCUAAUACCGCAUACGUCCUGAGGGGGAAAGCGGGGGAUCGCAAGACCUCGCGCGAUUGGAGUGGCCGAUGUCAGAUUAGCUAGUUGGUGGGGUAAAGGCCUACCAAGGCGAUGAUCUGUAGCUGGUCUGAGAGGAUGAUCAGCCACACUGGGACUGAGACACGGCCCAGACUCCUACGGGAGGCAGCAGUGGGGAAUUUUGGACAAUGGGGGCAACCCUGAUCCAGCCAUUCCGCGUGAGUGAAGAAGGCCUUCGGGUUGUAAAGCUCUUUCGGCAGGAACGAAACGGUGGGCUCUAACAUAGUCCGCUAAUGACGGUACCUGAAGAAGAAGCACCGGCUAACUACGUG
rnacentral:rRNA from 1 species